rnacentral:rRNA from 1 species
AUGAACCUGGCGGCAGGCCUAACACAUGCAAGUCGAACGGUAACAGGAAGCAGCUUGCUGCUUUGCUGACGAGUGGCGGACGGGUGAGUAAUGUCUGGGAAACUGCCUGAUGGAGGGGGAUAACUACUGGAAACGGUGGCUAAUACCGCAUAAGUCGCAAGACCAAAGAGGGGGACCUUCGGGCCUCUUGCCAUCAGAUGUGCCCAGAUGGGAUUAGCUUGUUGGUGAGGUAACGGCUCACCAAGGCGACGAUCCCUAGCUGGUCUGAGAGGAUGACCAGCCACACUGGAACUGAGACACGGUCCAGACUCCUACGGGAGGCAGCAGUGGGGAAUAUUGCACAAUGGGCGCAAGCCUGAUGCAGCCAUGCCGCGUGUAUGAAGAAGGCCUUCGGGUUGUAAAGUACUUUCAGCGGGGAGGAAGGUGUUGUGGUUAAUAACCGCAGCAAUUGACGUUACCCGCAGAAGAAGCACCGGCUAACUCCGUGCCAACAACCGCGGUAAUACGGAGGGUGCGCGUUAAUCGGAAUUACUGGGCGUAAARCGCACGCAGGCGGUCUGUCAAGUCGGAUGUGAAAUCCCCGGGCUCAACCUGGGAACUGCAUUCSAAACUGGCARGCUUGAGUCUUGUAGAGGGGGGUAGAAUUCCACGUGUAGCGGUGAAAUGCGUAAGAUCUGGAGGAAUACCGGUGGCGAA